rnacentral:lncRNA from 1 species
GUGCACUGGCGGGCCCUCCCCUCGGGCGUUGCCUCCCACCCACGCCCGGCGGCACCGCACCCCGAGGCGCUUCACGUCACGGAGCUGCUAGGAGACGGGCGGGGCUCCGGUUCCGGACGGAAUCUCACUCUGUCACCCAGGCUGGAGUGCAGUGGCACAAUCUCAGCUCACUGCAACCUCGACCUCCCAGGUACAAGCAAUUCUCCUGCCUCAGCCUCCCAAGUAGCUGGGAUUACAGAUGGAGUUUUGCUCUUGUCGCCCCGGCUGGAGUGCAGUGGUGCGACCUCAGCGAUCUCAGCGAUCUCAGCGAUCUCAGCUCACUACAACCUCUGCCUCUUGGAUUCAAGCAGUUCUCCUGCCUCAACCACCUGAGUAGCUGGGAUUACAGGCGCCUGCCACCACGCCUGGCUAAUUUUUGUAUUUUUAGUAGAGAUGGGGUUUCACCAGGUUGGUCAGUCUGGUCUCGAACUCCUGACCUCAGGUGAUCCACCCACCUCGGCCUCCCAAAGUGCUGGGAUUACAGGCGUGAGCCACCAUGCCCAGCCUACACUUGGGCUUCUUAGGCACAAGAUCCAGUAAGCCCUCCCUCCUCCUCCCCACCCCUUUUUUCUUUACACUAGUGUUUUCUGUAAUCCUGCAACAGAAAGAGUCCUAACUGAUAUAUUUGUGACCAUUUCUAAAAUCUCCAAAAUGUAAAAUUAUACAAUUAAGAAUUAAAAUAAUUUUUUAAAACCAAAAAAAAAAAAAAAA